rnacentral:rRNA from 1 species
AUUUAAUUGAAAGAUUUUUUUGUUGUUGUAUAGUUCUUGAUUUAAUUAUUUCGGUUAUAGUUUAUUUUUACCGUGAGGGGUUGAAAGGUUGGUAUAUAAUAUAUUAAAAGCUGGUUUUGUUUGUCGUACCUUGUGUAUCAGGGUUCAUUAAAUUAUUUAAUUUAUUUUCAUUUCCCGAUUAUGAGAGGAGUUAUUGGCCUAUUUUAGUUACUGUUUCAUCAGUAUUAAUAAUGUGUUUAUGGUAGUGAUAUGUUAUUCGUCUUUGUUGAUAUCUGGUUUUCCAAGAAAUGAAUUUAAUUCAUGCGUCUUAUUUAGAUUUAUUAUUUUUAUAUUUGAUUUUAAUUUGCCGUUAAAAUUAGGGGGGAUUAGCUUUCUAUUUUAUUUUUAUAAUGUUUUAUGUUUUGAUUCUUGUUGAUUUUAUAGUGAUUUUCAAUUUGAUUAUGUUAAAAUUUUAUUUUUGUGUUAUGUUAUUUUUUGUUAUUUAAGUUUAUAUUGGAAUGUAUUUUUUAAUUUUUAUUUGUGUAGUAAUUAUUAUGAUAUUAGUAAAUUUGUUUUUAUUUUAUAUAAUUUUUUGUUAAUUUCUUCUGAGGAAUUAGGCAAAGAUUUGCGUCCGCCUGUUUAACAAAAACAUCUUUUCUUGUUAGUUUUUGAAGUAUGGCCUGCCCACUGAUUUUUUGAAGGGCCGCGGUAUUUUGACCGUGCAAAGGUAGCAUAAUCAUUAGUUCUUUAAUUGUGAUCUGGAAUGAAUGGCUUGACGAGAUGCAAGCUGUCUUAGGUUUUGUUGAAUUAUUUAUUGAAUUUGGUUUCUGAGUUAAAAUUCUCAGAUGUUGUUAUGGGACGAGAAGACCCUAUAGAGUUUUUGACAUCCUUGAGUUUAUUUUGGUUGUUUGUUUAGUUGAUUAAUAGGUUUGUGAUGUUUUGUUGGGGUGAUGGGAAGAAUUUAUUUAACUCUUCUUUAUUUAUUUACAUUUAUUUGUGGUAUUUUGAUCCAUUAUUUUGAUUAUAAGAUUAAAUUACCUUAGGGAUAACAGCGUUAUCCUCCUUGAGAGUUCUUAUUGGCAGGGGGGUUUGCGACCUCGAUGUUGGAUUAAGGUUAAUUUUUGGUGUAGGAGCUUUAUUUUUGAUUAGGUCUGUUCGACCUUUAAAUCCUUACAUGAUCUGAGUUCAGACCGGCGUGAGCCAGGUUGGUUUCUAUCUAUAAUAAUUUUUUAUGCUUUAGUACGAGAGGACCAGGUAUAAGGAAUAAUUUUGAUUCUUGUAUGAUUUUUAUUAACU